AGUGAACGCUGGCGGUAGGCCUAACGCAUGCAAGUCGAACGGCAGCACAGUAAGAGCUUGCUCUUACGGGUGGCGAGUGGCGGACGGGUGAGGAAUACAUCGGAAUCUACUUUUUCGUGGGGGAUAACGUAGGGAAACUUACGCUAAUACCGCAUACGACCUACGGGUGAAAGCAGGGGAUCUUCGGACCUUGCGCGAUUGAAUGAGCCGAUGUCGGAUUAGCUAGUUGGCGGGGUAAAGGCCCACCAAGGCGACGAUCCGUAGCUUGUCUGAGAGGAUGAGCAGCCACACUGGAACUGAGACACGGUCCAGACUCCUACGGGAGGCAGCAGUGGGGAAUAUUGGACAAUGGGCGCAAGCCUGAUCCAGCCAUACCGCGUGGGUGAAGAAGGCCUUCGGGUUGUAAAGCCCUUUUGUUGGGAAAGAAAAGCAGCAGGUUAAUACCCCGCUGUUCUGACGGUACCCAAAGAAUAAGCACCGGCUAACUUCGUG
rnacentral:rRNA from 1 species